ACACCAAGGGCCCUUCAAAACAUAGGACCUUCCUGCUCACAGCAUAAAGCCCAGUUCCCUCUGGUCUCUGCAGUUUGACUCAUCACCAGGGAACCUAUGCCUCCUACAAGAUGAAGGCACCACUCCAGUAACAGCUCCAGGGACUGAGCCAAGGUGCCUGUGAGCUCCUAUAUGAGAGGCUCUGGAAAGCUCACCAAACACUUUCCUGACAACUUUGCCAGGGCCAUAUCUCCCAGGAAGAUCUUGCCUCCCCACUGAAGCCCCUGGCCCAGCCUCCUGCAGUGCCACGCUCCGUGUAUUUGACAAGCUGAGUUAGACACUCCAUGUAGUAGAGUGUCAGUUUGUCAAAUACCCCAAGUGCGGCAUAUGCCUAGCAGCUCCAGGCCAGGACAGUUGAAAUACAUCUGAUAGACUGACAGCUGGAUGCAAGAACACACACCAAAUACCAACUAAGCUCUCAGAAGUUAUUUUCGGUGACUUUGAGGGAAUUAAAGCAUUGUACCUGAGGGUGUUGGGGGGCGGGGAAAUGAAGCAGCUCUGCUUAUACACAGUGGGAGCCCUAGGUGGAUACAAUAGUCUUGAAAAGGCAUAUGGGCCCCAGGGAUGGCAGUACUCCUUUAUUCAUUACUUUCUUCCUUCACAUUCCCCUCCCAGAGUCCCCUAAAAAGGACAUCUGAAUUCUCACACAAGCAUCAUCACAGGGCUUAGACACCCAAUUUCUGGACACUUAACCUUGGCUUCUAAACACACUUUGACCUUACCUAUCUCUCUCCUUUUCUUCAUGCUUUUUCUCCUCCUGGGAACACCUUCUUCAUUUCUCUCUUCUUAUCCAAUUCUUUCCCAUACUUCUUGGCCAAGCCAAAGUCCAGUCUCUCCAAGGACUUUUGAAAGUCAACCUAUACUCUUUCCUUCUUCAUUCUCAAAGCACUCCUUGCCUGGAUGCUUGUAUGUACCCUUUUAUCUCCUACUGCCAAAUGGUACACCUUGAAUUGUUAGUGGACUUUUGCAGGGGAUAUUUUUGAAUUCCCCACUAGAUUGUGAGCUCCUAGAGAACAAUACUCUUUCCUUAAUUGCUGUCUCCCCAUUCCAUCCCUACUCCAGCCCCAGAACAGUACUCAGGUAACAGAAAAUACUUAAUAACUGUUUAUUGGUUGAUAGACUUUCCACUAGUCUAUUAGUUUUGGGCCUUUGGGCCAAAUGCUACCCAGGAAUUUUGUAAGAAAACAAUUAAACUUUGGUCGCUGCAGUGCUAUAGUGUGUGUGAGGCAAUUGCCAACAUGGAGGGUUUUUCUUCCUGAGAAAUAGGGUCAAGAGUCAGAGAAGGAAGGCAAAAAUGUAGACUCAGAGGGCAAGUAAGUUUUGGAAUUACUUGGUAACAAAAAGUUAUACAGAUGCUUUAUUGCAGGAUUUUUCAGAGACUUUAAUAUUGUAAUGUUCCAUUGGAAAUCUCCAAGAGAGGGCCAUAGAAUGAAGCAGUUCCCAUGCUUAUCUGAUCAUGGAAAUGUUUUUCUGUGGGCCAUUUCCUGGAUCGAGUGUUCCAUGGAACAAAAUUUGAGAAAUUGCCUUAGAGGAACUUCAUAUCUUUCCUCUCUUCUGGAGAUCUUGUCUUUUUACUCUUCUACUUUUCUCCACCCAGCUACCUGCCUAAGACAGGUCCUGUUUCAUUAUACCAUUUUUGUUUAGCCUAUCCUGCAUAUUUGGGCUAGCCUUAUACUUAGGACUUUCUCACUGGCUUGUCUUGCAUGAAAAAGAUUAUCAGGUUUUAGGCAGAGAUGAUCUCUAGAAGUUUCCUGCUGCAAUAAAUAUGUGCUCCUAGGUCUGUAAUUUUAUCUUGUUUUAUCUUGUUAUCUUGUGGCAUUUAAUAAACUUGCAGUAUCAGUGUCAACCUGCA